rnacentral:rRNA from 1 species
AGCGAACGCUGGCGGCGUGCUUAACACAUGCAAGUCGCGCGGGAAAGAGACUUUCGGGUCUUGAGUAGAGCGGCGGACGGGUGCGUAAGACGCGGGUGACCUAUCCGAGAGGCGGGGAUAACCCAGCGAAAGCGGGGCUAAUACCGGAUGAGCCCCCAGGCGGAAACGCGCGGGGGCAAAGGAUGCUACUCGAUAGUGGCAUGUCCUCACGGAGGGGCCCACGGCCUAUCAGCAGUUGGUGUGGUAACGGCGCACCAAGGCGAAGACGGGUA